CUGGUUUUGACUGGACCUUUGGAAUAGGGAAAUGGUUAAAAGAUAUAGGACGCAAGGUCCUGGUUAUUAUUGUCAGAAUUUCAAGCUAGAUUAUAAUUUAUCUCAUGAAUUAAUAUGUAAGAAGUGUUUCCCAAUUCCUCCUAAUACCCGAGCUAUGUACUCACAGGUGCAGGUAUUAUAAGUCACAAGUGGUGUCAACUGUGAGGGGAUGACAUGUCUAACACGAUCGCGGCCCCCACUCAGGUUUUCCCCAGAUGUGCUUUUUCCUCAAAUAUGAGUUUUUGCCACUGGGGUUUUUUGCCUGGCCCCAGAUCAUCGGGUGGACUGGUAAUCCUAGACCCCGGUCCUUGAACGGGGGAUAGGUAUUAUUCCCACUUUGACUAUAUGCGCCCACUUCCGUGGACAAAGGAGGAAAAUAACUGUUGGGAAUAAUACACUUUGCCCAUAUUUACCCAGGGCUUACAAU
rnacentral:lncRNA from 1 species